CUACGUGCCAGCAGCCGCGGUAAUACGUAGGUCCCGAGCGUUGUCCGGAUUUAUUGGGCGUAAAGCGAGCGCAGGCGGUUAGAUAAGUCUGAAGUUAAAGGCUGUGGCUUAACCAUAGUACGCUUUGGAAACUGUUUAACUUGAGUGCAAGAGGGGAGAGUGGAAUUCCAUGUGUAGCGGUGAAAUGCGUAGAUAUAUGGAGGAACACCGGUGGCGAAAGCGGCUCUCUGGCUUGUAACUGACGCUGAGGCUCGAAAGCGUGGGGAGCAAACAGGAUUAGAUACCCUGGUAGUCCACGCCGUAAACGAUGAGUGCUAGGUGUUAGACCCUUUCCGGGGUUUAGUGCCGCAGCUAACGCAAUAAGUACCCCGCCUGGGGAGUACGACCGCAAGGUUGAAACUCAAAGGAAUUGACGGGGGCCCGCACAAGCGGUGGAGUAUGUGGUUUAAUUCGACGCAACGCGAAGAACCUUACCAGGUCUUGACAU
rnacentral:rRNA from 1 species